rnacentral:lncRNA from 1 species
UUGAAGGAACAACUAGGAGGUCUUAACUCAGUGUUAUACCAAUCAAACACAGUGGCCUCUAACACAUGCCUAUGGACUGUACCUUCAAGCAAUCUUCAAUCGCUACCUCUUCUUAUUUUAGCUAUGUGCAUUUUCUUCAGACCCAGCUACCUAGAGUGAAUGCCUAGAAGCUAACUCAUGCUUUGUUAACAAAAACCACAUGGUAGAAUACACCUCUAAGAUCCUUUGAUCUGGAGAAGCACCUUUCUUCUUGAUUCUUCAUCAGUUUUCAGGACGUCUUUUUACCUGUUAAUUUAUAACCUCAGAUAGCUACCCAAGUCUCAGUAUUUUAUUUCAUUAAAAAAAAAAAAAAAAGCUCUUCAGAUGACUGUAAUGCCCAGCUACUACACUGGUAUUUCAACAAUUAUUCAUGCUCUUGUCCACGGAACAAGAACAUUUGUAUCACCUGGGGACUCAUUAGAAAUUCAGAAAGCCUGGCCAUUGCCUGGAUGUGUUCCUUUAGGGUGAAGGGUUAUUGAGAACCAUUUGCAUAGGAGACAGAGACUUCCCUAGUCCACACAGCUAUAACUGGUCAUACAAUCAAUGGAAAAAAAGUGCCCCAGCCACAUGAAUUUCAGCUUAGCUUGCAACAUCUUUGGGUAGCCUGGCUUUAGGUCUUACAAUGGUCAACUAUCCACACAUCAAAGUGGCUUCUGGCUUGCUGUUUUUCUUUACUACUGAACUACCUCUCAGAGGUCAUGCCAUGCUUUAUUUUCUUUGAGAUUGAAGCCCCUUAGAAUUUUUUUGAGCAUUUGAUCUGCCUUUCCCCUCCUUUUCACGAGGAGAUGACACACUUCAAAGGGGUCCGCUGGUUUUUCACUUCCCAUCACUCCCUCUGUCCACUCUCUUCCUUCUUGAAAAUACUAUGAUUCACAAGAAAAGGGAGGCACAUAAAAGGGAUGCUGGAGCCUGGGGUCCUUUAGGUCUGUUCUGAAAGUACACACUUGCUAAAAGUGAGACCCUGGUGGAACUGACCCCAAACUGAACCUUGGCUUUUGAUUGGAAAUGCUCUUUGGGCCAUGAAAUAAUCCAACUGCUCAUUUGCCUGGGCUACUGUGAAGGGGAAAGGAAAGGCUUAAGUGGGGUGUUUAAAGAGGAGUAAAGCUUUCAGACAGAGAUCUAGCUCAGCCAGGGGCUUUGAAGCUUGUGCCCUGCCCUGCCUGGUUGAGAGACAAGCUUUAACCAGAGCUCCAAAUCACAGUGGAGUAGGAGAGGACGAGAGGGCUCAGCUGUGCAGACUGGAUCAAUCUGAAUGAAAAUCACUAGUGUUCCCAGUGGUGAGGCAAGUUUCUGCUUAGCUCAUGAACUGUAGGCCCUUCUCUGGUCCUGCUGGAAAAUGAGUCGAGCUGUUGUGAAAGGUUAUGUAAGGCUGCUGUUUUACUUUUCCCCCUGGGGUUAAAUUCUAUUUAUAGAGGGGUGUACUACCUCCCACCAAAACUACAUCUCCCUUGCUAUAACUUAGCAAGAGAAUGCAAUCAAUUUUCAGGAAAGAAUUAAGGAACAAAAGGGAGAACAGAAUCGAAGGCAGAGAUACUGAGGCAUACAGAGAAAAACCAGCACAAAAAAGAAAGCUCUGUCAUGGGUUGCUGGAGGAAUGGUAGAUAGGGUGAUGAGUUUUCUGUUUGCUGGGAGCUUGCUAGGAAGCAGGAUUUACAGUAUCAACCAGAAAGCAACUUCUUGUAAACUGUGACUGUGGCUCACCCUGAAUUAGCCAGUCUUACUUGGGCAUGUCUAGGAAGAAUCAACGUUGCUUUUUUUCUUCUCUUCGCUUUCAUUCUUUCAUUCUCUCUUUCUUCUCUCUCUCUCUCUCUCUCUCUCUCUCUCUCUCUCUUUCUCUCUCUCUCUGAUUCUUUGUUUGUUUUGUUUUUCCUCUUUUUUUUUUUCUGCUGAGCAGUACAUCCUUAAGCAAUUAAGACAUUUCUGCCUGCAGGAACUUUCCAUAUGAGGGUUAGCAGUCACACUAACCACAGCGGAGAGACAAUUGGAGAGGGCAGUAAUAGGUUCUAGUAUGUGGUUGCUUUUCCAACAGUUCUGAGAGUAUUGGUGCCUGAUAGAAGACAACUUGCGUUUAAGCUAUUUAUCAGGUCAUUGAGACUUUACACUGUAGUGAAAUCAGAGAUAACACUUCAAAGUGAGUGUUGGUCUUUGGCCAUUAUUCUGCUAAUACAGUAAACAACAGAUCAUUUUACCUAGUAUGUUGUCUUUUGGAGAUUAUAAAUUUGUAAUGUUAUUGGUGAUCCCACAUGCCAAGUGUUUGUGUUCCAUUAUAUGUAGUAGUUUGUUCAUGCUUGCAUGUUUUUUAUUUGUGGACUUUCCCAGAUUCCAAAGUUACCCUUGUGUAUACUGAUUUAGACCUUUCAGCUAACCACAAGGCAAACUUCUAACUUUCUGAGUUAUUUUAUACAACAGGGUUAUUCUUUGAUCUUUUCUCUCUGCCAUCUAUUUCUUCCUCCUUGACUUUUUCUUUUGUAUAUACUGUUAAUAAUUUUACUGGCGAUAUUCCCGAGUGCCUGUGGAAAAGUUAAGAGUCAAGGAAAUCUCUCAAAUGCUAAAUGCAAAUGUAUGAAGUCUACAGAAUUUGCUAUCUCCAUAAGCCCUGGUCCUGAGACACCCAGGGCAUUUGUCAGCACCAAUAUUGAAUAUGGAACAAGGCAAGAGAAGUGAAUAAUUACUUUCUACAUAGUAAUGCCAAGGAUAGACUCCAAGUUUGCCUUAGGGCAAUCAUUCCUGAAGACCUAGAUGAGGCAAAAAUAUUAAAAUGUUAAUUUUGUAGAAACCUAUGUAGGAGUCAAGACAAGAUCCCAGAAAUAAGGAAAGCUUGGCAAGUGAAGACAAAUCUUUUAUUUAAAAGCAUUGGUUAUGUAAAUAAGGCUGUGGCAUUUGUUAGAAAUGGCUAUGUCAUUGGAUAGACUAGAAACAGUAUCCCAGAGUUGUUUAGUGUGCCCCUGUACUAGUUAGGGUUUUACUGAGAGUGAGAACCAUAAAGUACUUUUCACACACCUGGAUGUAAAUCUUGACAAAAUCAAUGAUGUAAGGAGGAUUCAGGACCCUUAUUCCUUAAAUUUGUAAAACAUUAUAGAUUGGUUAAAUUAAAAACAUAUGACAGAAAUAGAUAACUCCACUCCUUGGCAUGUAGUAUACACUAAGCAUUUUCUGAUAUUAUCCGGAUUUUCCACAGGAGUUUAUGAAGUUGAUAUUUGAUCAUACUCUAUAGUGAAUUUACAAAGCUUAUAACAAAAAUACCAAAACCCAGCUGUAGUGGCACAUACCUUUACUCCCAGCACUGGGGAGGCAGAAGCUGGCUGAUCUCUGAAUUUGAGGUUGGUUUGUUCUAUAGAGUGAACUGCCUUAGGG